UUAGUUUUUUCUCUAUCGACUACCACUGUAGUACAAUUACAUCGGGCUCGAAGUCGGGCUCGAAAAGCAAUUUAUUUAAAAACAACACACCGCGCCGAAAUUCAAUUUUUUGGAGAGUUCCACGCAGCCAUGUUGAACUUGAUCAUGAUGUUGUACGGGAGGAAGGGGCGAAAGAGAGUUACUCGAAAAGGAGAAGCAUGAUAAACUUUGGAUGGAAUUUAUGUUUUAACAGAAGAUGAAGACAUUUACGACCCUGUUUAGCGUUGCAGUGUGGACUGUGCCUGAGACGAUUCCCCAUUACGCCGGCUAUGUAGACAGCUUGUGAAAAUGGAAUCCAAAUGCUCACAAGAAAUGACAAAAGCAGUAUGAAGAUUAACACAACGAAAUUGUGUCAGAAAAGUUUGAAGUAGCUAUGGGAAUGAUCAACAUUGAACUUGCUGAGGCUCUCUUCCU